AGCAGCCGCGGUAAUUCCAGCUCCAAUAGCGUAUAUUAAAGUUGUUGCAGUUAAAAAGCUCGUAGUUGAAUUUCGGGAUUGACGUGAUGGUCGUGCCUUACGGGGUAUGAACUGUUGCAGUCAAUUUCUCACCUUCUGGAGAAAUAUGAUGUCCUUAAUUGGGUGUCAUAUGGAACCAGAACUUUUACCUUGAAAAAAUUAGAGUGUUUAAAGCAGGCUUAUUGCUCGAAUACAUUAGCAUGGAAUAAUAAAAUAGGACGGCAUGGUUCUAUUUUGUUGGUUUCUAGGAUCACCGUAAUGAUUAAUAGGGAUGGUUGGGGGCAUUAGUAUUCAAUUGUCAGAGGUGAAAUUCUUGGAUUUAUUGAAGACUAACUACUGCGAAAGCAUUUGCCAAGGAUGUUUUCAUUAAUCAAGAACGAAAGUUAGGGGAUCGAAGACGAUCAGAUACCGUCGUAGUCUUAACCAUAAACUAUGCCGACUAGGAAUCAGACGAUGUAAUUUUUUAAUGACUCGUUUGGCA
rnacentral:misc_RNA from 1 species